rnacentral:rRNA from 1 species
UACGUAGGGUGCGAGCGUUAAUCGGAAUUACUGGGCGUAAAGCGUGCGCAGGCGGUGAUGUAAGACAGUUGUGAAAUCCCCGGGCUCAACCUGGGAACUGCAUCUGUGACUGCAUCGCUGGAGUGCGGCAGAGGGGGAUGGAAUUCCGCGUGUAGCAGUGAAAUGCGUAGAUAUGCGGAGGAACACCGAUGGCGAAGGCAAUCCCCUGGGCCUGCACUGACGCUCAUGCACGAAAGCUAGGGGAGCAAACGGG